GUUGUCCAUUAUAGGACAUACUCCGGCUACUUCACCGAGCGCCUUUUGCCUCCUCCCUCAUCGAACUUUAAAGUGAACGGACUAUGAAAAAUAGGCAGAUUUCCGCGCUUGCGGAGUGAGGUGAUCGCGUGGAAAACACGUUGGAUGACUCUGAAUACAUACGAACUUUGUAACAGAUCUAAAGUUGUGAGGAAAACCCUUAUUACUAUUGAUACAUUUGUAACACUACUAAGAAGUACUAUUGGUGUUUAUUGAAUAGAUGGCAACAUAGUAUUCAUAUGCUUGUAAUUAUGCUGAUGCAUUCUUUCCGCUGGCCACCAGAUGGAGCUGUGGAUACACUGGGGAUUAUGGGUAAAAGAAGUGUUUAAAAGGUCAUUUCAAUUACACUGUUUGUAACUUGCACCAGAGGAAGGAUCCUAGAGGUCCGAAACCUGUAGUGCUGUGAUAAAAUAAACCCACAUUUUGAAGAC